UACAGAGGUCCCAAGCGUUGUUCGGAUUCACUGGGCGUAAAGGGCUCGUAGGUGGCCAACUAAGUCAGACGUGAAAUCCCUCGGCUUAACCGGGGAACUGCGUCUGAUACUGGAUGGCUUGAGUUUGGGAGAGGGACGCGGAAUUCCAGGUGUAGCGGUGAAAUGCGUAGAUAUCUGGAGGAACACCGGUGGCGAAGGCGGCGUCCUGGACCAACACUGACACUGAUGAGCGAAAGCCAGGGGAGCAAACGGG
rnacentral:rRNA from 1 species